GGGUUGUGAGGUUAAGCGACUAAGCGUACACGGUGGAUGCCCUGGCAGUCAGAGGCGAUGAAGGACGUGCUAAUCUGCGAUAAGCGCCGGUAAGGUGAUAUGAACCGUUAUAACCGGCGAUUUCCGAAUGGGGAAACCCAGUGUGACUCGUCACACUAUCAUUAACUGAAUCCAUAGGUUAAUGAGGCGAACCGGGGGAACUGAAACAUCUAAGUACCCCGAGGAAAAGAAAUCAACCGAGAUUCCCCCAGUAGCGGCGAGCGAACGGGGAGGAGCCCAGAGCCUGAAUCAGCAUGUGUGUUAGUGGAAGCGUCUGGAAAGGCGCGCGAUACAGGGUGACAGCCCCGUACACAAAAGCGCAUGUGCUGUGAGCUCGAUGAGUAGGGCGGGACACGUGGUAUCCUGUCUGAAUAUGGGGGGACCAUCCUCCAAGGCUAAAUACUCCUGACUGACCGAUAGUGAACCAGUACCGUGAGGGAAAGGCGAAAAGAACCCCGGCGAGGGGAGUGAAAAAGAACCUGAAACCGUGUACGUACAAGCAGUGGGAGCNNNNNGGGCGUUAAGUUGCAGGGUAUAGACCCGAAACCCGGUGAUCUAGCCAUGGGCAGGUUGAAGGUUGGGUAACACUAACUGGAGGACCGAACCGACUAAUGUUGAAAAAUUAGCGGAUGACCUGUGGCUGGGGGUGAAAGGCCAAUCAAACCGGGAGAUAGCUGGUUCUCCCCGAAAGCUAUUUAGGUAGCGCCUCGUGAAUUCAUCUCCGGGGGUAGAGCACUGUUUCGGCUAGGGGGCCAUCCCGGCUUACCAACCCGAUGCAAACUGCGAAUACCGGAGAAUGUUAUCACGGGAGACACACGGCGGGUGCUAACGUCCGUCGUGAAGAGGGAAACAACCCAGACCGCCAGCUAAGGUCCCAAAGUCAUGGUUAAGUGGGAAACGAUGUGGGAAGGCCCAGACAGCCAGGAUGUUGGCUUAGAAGCAGCCAUCAUUUAAAGAAAGCGUAAUAGCUCACUGGUCGAGUCGGCCUGCGCGGAAGAUGUAACGGGGCUAAACCAUGCACCGAAGCUGCGGCAGCGANNUGCUGGAGGUAUCAGAAGUGCGAAUGCUGACAUAAGUAACGAUAAAGCGGGUGAAAAGCCCGCUCGCCGGAAGACCAAGGGUUCCUGUCCAACGUUAAUCGGGGCAGGGUGAGUCGACCCCUAAGGCGAGGCCGAAAGGCGUAGUCGAUGGGAAACGGGUUAAUAUUCCCGUACUUGGUGUUACUGCGAAGGGGGGACGGAGAAGGCUAUGUUGGCCGGGCGACGGUUGUCCCGGUUUAAGCGUGUAGGUGUGUGUUCCAGGUAAAUCCGGUUCACUUUAACACUGAGGCGUGACGACGAGGCACUACGGUGCUGAAGCAACAAAUGCCCUGCUUCCAGGAAAAGCCUCUAAGCAUCAGGUAACAUCAAAUCGUACCCCAAACCGACACAGGUGGUCAGGUAGAGAAUACCAAGGCGCUUGAGAGAACUCGGGUGAAGGAACUAGGCAAAAUGGUGCCGUAACUUCGGGAGAAGGCACGCUGACAUGUAGGUGAAGUGAUUUACUCAUGGAGCUGAAGUCAGUCGAAGAUACCAGCUGGCUGCAACUGUUUAUUAAAAACACAGCACUGUGCAAACACGAAAGUGGACGUAUACGGUGUGACGCCUGCCCGGUGCCGGAAGGUUAAUUGAUGGGGUCAGCGCAAGCGAAGCUCCUGAUCGAAGCCCCGGUAAACGGCGGCCGUAACUAUAACGGUCCUAAGGUAGCGAAAUUCCUUGUCGGGUAAGUUCCGACCUGCACGAAUGGCGUAAUGAUGGCCAGGCUGUCUCCACCCGAGACUCAGUGAAAUUGAACUCGCUGUGAAGAUGCAGUGUACCCGCGGCAAGACGGAAAGACCCCGUGAACCUUUACUAUAGCUUGACACUGAACAUUGAGCCUUGAUGUGUAGGAUAGGUGGGAGGCUUUGAAGUGUGGACGCCAGUCUGCAUGGAGCCGACCUUGAAAUACCACCCUUUAAUGUUUGAUGUUCUAACGUGGACCCGUUAUCCGGGUUGCGGACAGUGUCUGGUGGGUAGUUUGACUGGGGCGGUCUCCUCCUAAAGAGUAACGGAGGAGCACGAAGGUUGGCUAAUCCUGGUCGGACAUCAGGAGGUUAGUGCAAUGGCAUAAGCCAGCUUGACUGCGAGCGUGACGGCGCGAGCAGGUGCGAAAGCAGGUCAUAGUGAUCCGGUGGUUCUGAAUGGAAGGGCCAUCGCUCAACGGAUAAAAGGUACUCCGGGGAUAACAGGCUGAUACCGCCCAAGAGUUCAUAUCGACGGCGGUGUUUGGCACCUCGAUGUCGGCUCAUCACAUCCUGGGGCUGAAGUAGGUCCCAAGGGUAUGGCUGUUCGCCAUUUAAAGUGGUACGCGAGCUGGGUUUAGAACGUCGUGAGACAGUUCGGUCCCUAUCUGCCGUGGGCGCUGGAGAACUGAGGGGGGCUGCUCCUAGUACGAGAGGACCGGAGUGGACGCAUCACUGGUGUUCGGGUUGUCAUGCCAAUGGCACUGCCCGGUAGCUAAAUGCGGAAGAGAUAAGUGCUGAAAGCAUCUAAGCACGAAACUUGCCCCGAGAUGAGUUCUCCCUGAGACUUAGAGUCUCCUGAAGGAACGUUGAAGACGACGACGUUGAUAGGCCGGGUGUGUAAGCGCAGCGAUGCGUUGAGCUAACCGGUACUAAUGAACCGUGAGGCUUAACCUUACAACGCCGAAG
rnacentral:rRNA from 1 species